rnacentral:rRNA from 1 species
GACGAACGCUGGCGGCGUGCCUAAUACAUGCAAGUAGAACGCUGAAGCUUGGUGCUUGCACCGAGCGGAUGAGUUGCGAACGGGUGGGUAACGCGUAGGUAACCUGCCUGGUAGCGGGGGAUAACUAUUGGAAACGAUAGCUAAUACCGCAUAAGAGUAGAUGUUGCAUGACAUUUGCUUAAAAGGUGCAAUUGCAUCACUACCAGAUGGACCUGCGUUGUAUUAGCUAGUUGGUGAGGUAACGGCUCACCAAGGCAACGAUACAUAGCCGACCUGAGAGGGUGAUCGGCCACACUGGGACUGAGACACGGCCCAGACUCCUACGGGAGGCAGCAGUAGGGAAUCUUCGGCAAUGGACGGAAGUCUGACCGAGCAACGCCGCGUGAGUGAAGAAGGUUUUCGGAUCGUAAAGCUCUGUUGUAAGAGAAGAACGAGUGUGAGAGUGGAAAGUUCACACUGUGACGGUAUCUUACCAGAAAGGGACGGCUAACUACGUG